GCAACCUCUACCUCCCAGGUUCAAGUGAUUCUCCUGCCUCAGCCCCCCAAGUAGCUGGGAUUACAGGCACGUACCACAUGCCUGUCAUAUGCCAUUCUAUCAUCCAACUGGCCUGUGCUAUGGGUGACUCUUUCCUCUGUGUCAGGGUGGGUGUAAAAGCCCCGGGGUUGUAGCCCCACCAUCUGGCCAUCUCUGCUAACCACAGCCACCUUCCAGAGAUGACAUUCCAUAGAAUUGACUUUUUUUUUUUUUAAUUUUAAUAAUGUCAAGUUGUUUUUCCCCUUAGGGUAGAAUCCAUGGCAAGGCAAAAGGUCAGUUACAGACUAUAGCAUGGCAGAGUUAUCCAAUGUUCCACCUCUAUAACAAUGUGCUUCUAGGUGUCCUGGUAUAAAAGCCAGACGCCUUUAUGUAAUAAUUAGAUGUCAAUCUGUUAAAGACACCUUAAUCUGUAGUUUCUAGAGAACAAUAGACUUUCAUAUGAGUUUAUACUCAUACUGUGCCCUGAAAAUUAGUCAAAUAAAGAUUUGCGUGUUUAAAAAGCAGGUUUUUAAAGUAAAACAAAACACACAAAAACUCAUCAAAGCUUGAAGCCAACCAAAAAUACUAUCCCUAGGUGUCCACCCACUUUCCUGUUUAAUGCCAACUCGCUGCAGAGGCCCUAGGGUAAGAGUGCUUGGCUUAUCUAGCUGUUCCUCCAAUGAGUGAGUGGGGAAGGGAAGGAGAAGAAGGAGGUAAGGGCAGAGAGGAAGGGGAGCCAGGUCUUGCAGAGCUUGCCAGGCUGUGUAAGGACUUUGGCUUUGAUUUCUUGGAAGAUGGCAGCUCAGUGCAGGGCAUUGCUCCUUGGAGUGGCGUGAUCUGUGUGAAGACCCACCCAGGCAGAAGGCUCCCAAUCCAGGAGUUCAAGCAGGAGACAAAGCCAGGCAAGUGAGGGUGGAAGCUUUUGCCAGGGGGGUAGUGUCCACCAGGAUGGUGGCUGUGGAGCUGAAAUGUCAGAUUCUUGAGAAAGACAGAGAAGAAAGGACACAGAGAGAAGGGGAUCAGACACAGGCAUACGUGCAACUUUUAUUUUGAUAGAUCGAAGUGCCAACAGGACUUCCGGAGAGAUUGGAUGUGGGGUGUGAGAGAGAGAGGAGCCAAAGAUAACCUUCUCGGCAGAACCUGGGUCGCAAAAGGAAAUCUGAGUUUCAAAUGCUGGAAAUUCGCUGGGCUGUGUUCAGAUCACUUGCAACUAGGUUAUAAAGAGGCUCCUCAGAAACAUACAUAUAAGGCUUUGGUUCAGAGAACUUUGUGUUUACCAUCAGCCUGUCUUCCUAGUUUGGAGGAAAGGGCAUUGUUAGAAAAGAGAGUCGGUUUUCAGGAAGCAGAGGACUUGACUUCAUUGACAGGAGAGUGGCCUGUAACCCACAGGCUGUCCUGCCAGGGCGGCUGUCGCAGAUAUUGCCACUCACAAGCCCCUAGUCCCCUUCCCUAUCCUGUUCGUCUUUUGCCUAAUUGGGAGGUUAAGCUCUUUCCAGCCACUCCCCAUCUCCAUACACAUGGAUUUUUUGUUUUAAACAACUAUAUUGAGAUCUAAUUCAUGUACCAUACAAUUCAGCCUUUUAAAAUAUACAAUUCAAUGGUUCUUAGUAUAUUUACAGAGCUGUGCACCCAUUGCCACAAUCUGUGUUAGAACCUUUUCAUCACCCCCUAAGAGAAAUCAUGUACCUUUGAGCUGUGCCUCGUUUAUCUCCUUGUCCCUGCAGCCCUGGCAGCCUCUCAUCUACCUUCUGCUUCUACGGGUUUGCCAAUUCUGGACAUUUUGUGUAAAUGGAAUCGUAUGAUAUGUGGUCUUUUGUGAUCAUCUUUUUACACUUAGCAUAAUGUUUUUAGUGUAUAUUAUGGUCGGGUACGGUGGCUCACACCUGUAAUCCCAGCACUUUGGGAGGCUGAGGUGGGCAGAUCGCACAAGCUCAGGAGUUCGAGACCAGCCUGGGCAACAUAGUGAGACCCUGUCGCAAUUUUUUUAAAUUGUAAAAAAAAAAAAAAAAAUUAAUAAAAAA
rnacentral:lncRNA from 1 species